UACGGAGGGUGCAAGCGUUAUCCGGAUUUACUGGGUUUAAAGGGUGUGUAGGCGGGCUGUUAAGUCAGUGGUGAAAUCUCCGGGCUCAACCCGGAAACUGCCAUUGAUACUAAUGGUCUUGAAUUUUGUUGAGGUAGGCGGAAUAAGUCAUGUAGCGGUGAAAUGCAUAGAUAUGACUUAGAACACCAAUUGCGAAGGCAGCUUGCCAAACAAAUAUUGACGCUGAGGCACGAAAGCGUGGGGAUCAAACAGG
rnacentral:rRNA from 1 species